rnacentral:lncRNA from 1 species
AGUUGCUAAGAGUAUAGGUGCUUGCUACCAUGCCCAGCAAAAUUUUAAGAUGUUUGGUAUAGAUGGGUUCUCACUACGUUACCCAAGCUGGCCUCAAACUCCUGGGCUCAAGUGAUCCUUUUGUGUCUGCCUGUAAGUGUUGGUCUUACAAGCAUGAGCCACUGUGCCCAGCCUCCUUUUUUCUCUCUCUUUUAUUUAUUUUUUUUUUUAGCCUACAUCAUUACUUAGACUGUGCAGAAUUAUAGUCAAUUUCUGAGUCAUCCCUUAUAGGAAAAGAGUGAGAACUUUCCCUUUUUCUCUCAUUUCACUGGAAUGCACAAUUGAGGGCUGUCUUGGACCAGCAGAUAGAGGACACAAUGAAACAGAAGAAGCCUGAAUCCUUGACAUGGAGCCACCAUACUCCAUUCCAACCACCUGUGAAGACUUUCAGGGGAACGAUAGCCUCAAUGUCAUAAGCAGCCACCUAUGAAGAGGCCCAUGUAGCAAGGAAUUGAGGCCUCCAGCCAAGGGCAGGUGAGUGCCCCAUUUUGGUAGCACAACCUCUGGCCCCAGUCCAACCUUCAGGUGACUGCAGCCCCAGCCAAAAUCUUGUUUGCAACCUCGUGAGACGCCCUGAGCCAGGCCCACCCAGCUGAGCCCCUCCAAGUUUGUUGUUUGAAGUUUUGGUGUAAUUGGUUUCACAGCAAUAGAAAGCAUUACACAAAGUGUCUUUCUAACCUGAAGACUCAGAAGGUCUUGGGUUUCCUGUGGGUAAUUGUUCUGGAAACCAAGGCAACAGGACCUAGGGCCAACUAAUUUCUCCCAGUUACUAGCCGUAUGACCUCAUGGAGAGGACUUCACCUCUCUGUGCCUCUGCUUCCCUACCUGUGAAAUGGAGAUAUAACUAACAACUACCUUCACAGGGUUCCCAUUGUCCUUCCUCCUACCUGGAAACUGACACUCUCUCAACCAGGGUCUCCAUCACCGCCUGGUUCUCUGUCCCCCUCUUUCCAGUUCUCUGUCCCCACCCAGCCCCUGUGUCUGUUCCUUCUCUCUCUGGGUCUCUAUCCCCCUCCUCUAUUUCUGGUCUUCUGUCUCACCCUGAUUCAGCUCUGUCCCCCAAAUCUCAGAGUCUCUGACUUAUUUUUCCUGAGUCUCUGCCUUUCUACUCUUUAGGUCUCUGUCUUCUUUUUUUUUUUUUUUUUUUGAGAUAGAGUCUCACUCUGUCACCAGGCUGGAGUGCAGUGGCACGAUCUCGGCUCUCUGCAACCUCCACCUCCCGAGUUCAAGCGAUUCUCCUGCCUCAGCCUCCCGAGUAGCUGGGAUUACAGGCAUGUGCCCCCCUCUGUCUCUGGGUCUCUGUCCUCCUCUCUCUCUGGGUCUCUGUCCUCCUCUCUCUUGGUCUCUGUCCCCCACUCUCUGGGUCUCUGUCCCCCUCUCCCUGGUCUCCCUUCCCCUCUCUCUGGGUCUCUGUUCCCCUCUCUCUCUCUGGGUCUCUGUCUCCCUCUCUCUCUGGGUCUCUGUGUCCUUCUCUCUGCCUGUCCCCGCCUUCUCUCUGGAUGCAGCUCAGGUGCUGGGUGCUGGUUCCAGCUCCUGCUGCCCCCCUCACCUCUCCAGCAGGCACCCCAAGGUCAUUACUUUUUCCAUUUCACAGAGAAGGAACUUGAAGCCCGUUAGAGGCCGACACUCCCCUGCAGCCCCACAGCGAGCUGGCAGCUGUGUCAGACCUUGAUCCUGGCUGCCUGGGGUACUUUCUCAGGCUUCACGAUCCAGUGGGGGAUGUGACUCAGAAAUAGCUCUGGUGGGAGGCAAACGGCUGCAAGUGCUGCCUGAGGGACACUCCCCAAGACAGGGCGGAGAGCUCUUCUGUCUGAGGGAGGAGAUGUCUCCCAGACAUCCUUCCCAGCCCAGACUCUUUGCCCUGUUCUCUGCAGCUCCUCCUCCUUCCCUGGACCCUCGCCCAGGCUCCCCUCUGGCCUCCCUGCCUCAGUCUCUCCCCUCCAAACAUCCCCCACUCAGCCCAAGGGAGUCUUGGGGAGAGAAAGCCCUUUUGCAUUAGUGACAAAAGCAGCAGCCUUCUUGUCUUGGUCCUGCUUCUUACAACCCCUCCAACCUUGACCUUGUGGAGGUUACUACACCACUGUCUACCUUAGUUGUUUCUUUUUUUUUUUUGAGACGGAGUUUUGCUCUUGUUGCCCAGGCUGGAGUGCAAUGGCACGAUUUCGGUUCACUGCAACCUCUGCCUCCCAGGUUCAAGC